rnacentral:lncRNA from 1 species
GCAGAAGAGACUGUCAGCAGACCACCUUGGAGGGGAUGCUUGGAGCUGCCUAACGUGUGAUUCAAAGAUGAAUUCCAUGUGUUUGGAGAAGAAGCCCUAGCCUCAACACAAAGGUUGGCCACAUUCCAGCCAAGGUAGCACGGAGUGAAGGCCCGUGGAGGGAGAGCUGGGCUUUUCUGAACUACUUCAGUACACCUUGCUGUGCCUUGGCCUGCCGUGUUUCAUCCCCAUGGCUGUCCUCAGUGAUGUGCAUGGUCACUGCUCCCUUCACCACUGAGAAGACGGGCACAGGACAGUCAGGGGAUGUGUCCAAGGUCCCACAGCAGGAAGGGCUGGAGCCAGAAUGUGGUCUGAGAGGCUGGAUAUACAAAGAGACAAUGGCAUGACCAUCUGUACAAAUGGAACUAUGGCCCACAACCUGCAGCAGCCAGCCCAGGAAGCCAACCCGUCACCUGCAGCAGCCAGGAUGGAUGCUGGCCUGCCCUCAGUUGUACUCACAUCAUUGGUCUUAUGGGGAAAUUUUAAGACCUCCCACUUGUAAGGUUUUAUAGCCCUCUAUGGAAUAUUGAAGAAAGAGUAAAAUGCAUCCAAAAAAAAAAAAAAACACUAAACUGGAUAAAUUCUAAGGCCUCUUCAGGUCUUAAGAUGGCCAUUUUCUAGGUCCUCUUGCUGCAGCAGUGAAAUCCACAAACACGGACAAGUCAGUCAGUUACGUGCCUUUCAGAGAAAACUUCUGACUUAGGAAUUCCAGCUAUUUGGCCCAACCCAUAUUAGAUUGUGUUAUAAAGACAUGGUAAAUUACAUCACGAAGGGAAGAGCAGAGGAAACAUAAUAUUCCUUCAAGACCCAUCAGCUCAGAUGUUAGCAGAACACCCCUAAGGAGGAAAACAAGAAAUUUUGGGUUUGAACUUGGUACUUCCCAGCAGCCCUGGGAGUGGGGUCAGAAGCCCUGCUGGGGGCCAAAGAACUCUGAGGAUCAAAGAUGUUGAGCAUCACCUUAGAGGCCAAAGAUCAGAACAGUGGAGGUGGCCUUUGAAGCCCAACCUGUCUUUCACCAGAGAGUGAGAACGGCCUCUAUUUCCAGGAAGCUCACUGCAGCAAUAAUCAUGAUGCUCUGAGCCUGACAAGGUGAGAAUUUACUUUCAGCACCUGCAAUAGUUUCCUAUUAAAGUUACAUAUGAAACCCUGCCGUCUUGUACCAACUAAUGUUCACACCAGCGUUCCUAUUUUCAAGAUAAAUUGCAAAAUAAAAACUCUUGUUUUCGUUAGCAAAAGAAAACUUCUUUAGGAGGAUAAAAGGGAGAUGAAGAAACAGAAAACACAUCAGCUCUCCAUCCAGAUUACAGAAAGCAGAAAACAUCCUGAAGUGAAUAACAUAGGAAUCGCUCUUUUUCCCCCCUGAGAUAGCAGGUUACUUAUGAGAAACAAGCUUGAAAUCUCUGCACCUGGACCAGCUUCCAGAGGCUUUUGUCCUGACCAGAUAUUUACUGAAUAACUAGAAGAUGCUAGAUGUUAUUCUAUUCAUUUUAUACCACUCUUCAAAUUACGGAUGUUUCCCCACCGAAACCGACCCUCACAAAAGAAAAACUAUCUGGGGCCUUGGAUCCUCUUUCAAAGGCUCAAGCUGGCUUUGGGGAAGUAAAGGAAACCAGAGAAGAAGAGGCUGAAAGAAUUGGUUUCCACCGUGACCUUUGAACCCUCGGGCGAGUUGUCAGCCUCACUGAGGAUGAGUGUACUCCAUAUCAAGUGAGGUCACUUUACUCGCAAGCUUGUUGUGAGGACUGAAUGAAACCUUUUCUUUUUUCUUGGAGUUUCAGAGCAACGUCCCUGAGCCCAGCCCCACACUGGCUUGAGCCCUGUCGUCGGUCAAGACACGGUGCUUUCUCCCCUCCCCUCUGCACUCCAGCUUACUCUGCAGUCAGGAGGUGGCACCACGAUCCCCUUUAAGACUUUGCCACUUGGGCCAGCUGCGCCCCUGUGAAAUUCCCUGUUUCUAUUGCAGGCCACAAGGACGAGCUGAGAAAUGGCUUCCAGUCACCAUCUAGAUUAGAAAGCCUAUAUUUCAAAUAUAGAUAUAUCAAUUAUGCCUGUAAAAAGACAUUAAAUCCCACAGGGCUGUAAUUCCUAGACUCUACGAAUUUCAUCUUGCACCAAAUUUUAUUAUUUCAUUUAUAAUUCGGAUUCUUCAAAUCUAAGAGUGCCUGGCUCAAAAUUAAAAUACCUACAACUAUGCCAAAACUGGACUCUUUAAUUGCCUUACUGGAACCAGUAGCUGAUUCAAAGCAAAACGAAACAAAAUUCCUCCUUUCUCUGAUUUAGUGAAUCAAUGAUCUAACUGAACUCAUUUUUGGACUGAGUUUGCGGCACUUGCAGCCCUGAGGGACACAUUCCCCCACCACACUGAGCCUGCACUCCCAUCAAUGCAAAUGAACAUUUUGCUUAUUCAGAUUGGGGGGGUGAAGGAAGUCACAAAAGGGUUAAUACAUAUGGCAUUUCAUUGUAAUAUGUACUCACUACUAACUAAAUUAAAAGAGAUGUGAGUUAUUAAAAACUCCAUCUUAAGAAAGUAACAGAAAUCAGAGUUCAGAUUCGUUGUUACUGAGUUUCCAACCAACACCUGUGAGUUAAACCUACGGCCACCCUGAAAACGGUUCAUAUUUUCAAAAGCUUCAUCGAAGAUGAGCUGCACUAAAGAUUCAUAUUACAUAUCAUGCUGCAAUAAGAAAAUCAAAUAAGGCCUUUCCAUAUUCAAUAAUAAAGUUUAAAGAAAAGUAAUAUUUGUUUAGCCAGUUAGCCAGAAAUUAGAUGUAUCAGAAUACAUCAUUCUUUGAGCAUUUUAGAAAAAUCAGGGUAUUUCUACAUUGUGUUUUUCUUUGUAAGCCCUCAAAAAAUAUAGAGAAUAUUCUUGAA